CAGAAUAUGAAUAGCGGACAUUUCGCGAAUGGCGGAACUAUCCAUUUCAAUUUUGGUGGUCGACUGAGGCGUACUUCAGAACCGACGGGGAAUGAAAUCGACCCAAAAGAUGGCUGUGACCAGUACUUCUCAGGCAAGUUGGGCUGCAUUGACCAACCUCUCUGUGCUACUGAUGGCAAGACCUACGCCAAUGUAUGUGAUCUCUGCGACAUGAGAAAAAGCUCAGGGCUGAACUCCGUUUGGAUCCGUCAUUCCGGGGAAUGUCCACGGACCUGAGAGCAGAGCUGCAGAGCUGCGGUCCACCGUUGGUCCACAGCUGGUCAGGAAGACUCCAGAGUCACUUUGACACAAUAAAGAAUUUCAGCAUCA